rnacentral:lncRNA from 1 species
AAAAGAUCUACCAGAUGUCAACAAAUCUCAUUUCAGGUGAAAUCCAAAACUUGUCUAAAAUGGAAAGAUGCAAGGUCAUCUCUACUGAGAAAACUACAGUUGUCAUCCAAAUAAAUCCACAGGAGGCAAAAGACAGUAUUAUUUUUGUUGAUGGACAGCAGGCCAGAGGAACAAAUCUCAAUACAACUCUUAAAGGAUUUUUAAAAGCGCAACCAAAGGCACUGGGGACUGUACAGAUAAUGAUUGGAGUGAUGGUCUUCUUACUUGGUAUUCUACACACCACAAAUUUCUACAAAUACUCUGCUAUUGUUGUCUAUAGUGGCAUCACCUACUGGGGAUCUCUCAUUGUAAGUUUCAUUUAAUGG